rnacentral:lncRNA from 1 species
AAUAAAAGCUUAUGUUCACACAAAAUCCUGUAACUGAAGGUUCAGAGCACCUUUAUGUAUAACCUUCUGACUUUUUCCAGACUUAACUGUUACACUAACUGUGUCUAGCACUCAGAUGUAAUGGAUAGAUGUUUAAUCAACAUAAGGUCUAGACAAAAGGACAUGAGGAAGUUAUAAAACUGGUGCCACGAGAAGCAUUUGACACUGAUUACAUUAAGCCUGUUUCUC